rnacentral:tRNA from 1 species
GCUUAGAUAGCUUAAUUUUAGAGCAUAGCACUGAAGAUGCUAGAGUGACAGUUAUUGUCUCAAAGUA